AGCCCUCAACAGCCAAUCAGGAGCUACGCUGUUGACGUUGAGCUUGUUAGUGUACAGGUGAAGCACGGAUUUCCUCGGUCGUGUAUCAGCAGAAAAUAAGGAAGCGAUUUGCAAAAGCGAUUUCAUGUAGGAAAUGAGAAAACCAAGUACAAGUACAAUGUGAAAGCAGACAGAUAAACCUGCGCGAGUAUCAAGAGCCAAGUGACAGAAUGAAGGAGCCGAGUUACGUCGUUAUUACCCUCCAUUCUGUGAGCCGAUACAGGCCCCAACAUCAGGUCCUCAGAUUGAAACAGAACAACGUUGAGAAAGGUUGUUGAGAGGACGGGAAAGUUCAAGGACAAGGACGAGAUCCCAGUCGUAUUUGAUGGCGUGCUAUUAACCCUGAAGGAGAAGACACAGAGGCGAUACACACACACACACACACACACACACACACACACACAAACACAAACUUUUAAAAACAGGUGAACAUCCAUCAGUAUAUUUACUGACAACAUAUAUUUAAUUUGAUUCCAAGUGUGCACACGUUUUGUUUCUGAUUAUCUGGGUCAUUAUUUUCUUGUAUAAAUGGUUUUUUCCAUUGCUGUAAAAUUAUAAGAGUAACUACUCAGCG